rnacentral:rRNA from 1 species
UACGUAGGGUGCGAGCGUUAAUCGGAAUUACUGGGCGUAAAGCGUGCGCAGGCGGUUUUGUAAGCCAGAUGUGAAAGCCCCGGGCUCAACCUGGGAAUGGCAUUUGGGACUGCAAGGCUUGAGUGCGGCAGAGGAGACUGGAAUUCCUGGUGUAGCAGUGAAAUGCGUAGAUAUCAGGAGGAAUACCGAUGGCGAAGGCAGGUCUCUGGGCUGACAUUGACGCUCAGGCACGAAAGCGUGGGGAGCAAACAGG